UACGAGGGGGGCGAGCGUUGGUCGGAAUUAUUGGGCGUAAAGGGUGCGUAGGCGGUUUGGUAAGUCUUGUGUGAAAUCUACAGGCUCAACUUGUAGUCUGCACGAGAAACUGCCGGGCUUGAGUAUGGGAGAGGUGAGUGGAAUUCCUGGUGUAGCGGUGAAAUGCGUAGAUAUCAGGAGGAACACCUGUGGCGAAAGCGGCUCACUGGACCAUAACUGACGCUGAUGCACGAAAGCUAGGGGAGCAAACAGG
rnacentral:rRNA from 1 species